UNCCAUGUGUAGCGGUGAAAUGCGUAGAUAUAUGGAGGAACACCGGUGGCGAAAGCGGCUCUCUGGUCUGUAGCUGACGCUGAGGCUCGAAAGCGUGGGGAGCGAACAGGAUUAGAUACCCUGGUAGUNCACGCCGUAAACGAUGAGUGCUAGGUGUUAGGCCCUUUCCGGGGCUUAGUGCCGCAGCUAACGCAUUAAGCACUCCGCCUGGGGAGUACGACCGCAAGGUUGAAACUCAAAGGAAUUGACGGGGGCCCGCACAAGCGGUGGAGCAUGUGGUUUAAUUCGAAGCAACGCGAAGAACCUUACCAGGUCUUGACAUCCCGAUGCCCGCUCUAGAGAUAGAGUUUUACUUCGGUACAUCGGUGACAGGUGGUGCAUGGUUGUCGUCAGCUCGUGUCGUGAGAUGUUGGGUUAAGUCCCGCAACGAGCGCAACCCUUAUUGUUAGUUGCCAUCAUUCAGUUGGGCACUCUAGCGAGACUGCCGGUAAUAAACCGGAGGAAGGUGGGGAUGACGUCAAAUCAUCAUGCCCCUUAUGACCUGGGCUACACACGUGCUACAAUGGCUGGUACAACGAGUCGCAAGUCGGUGACGGCAAGCUAAUCUCUUAAAGCCAGUCUCAGUUCGGAUUGUAGGCUGCAACUCGCCUACAUGAAGUCGGAAUCGCUAGUAAUCGCGGAUCAGCACGCCGCGGUGAAUACGUUCCCGGGCCUUGUACACACCGCCCGUCACACCACGAGAGUUUGUAACACCCGAAGUCGGUGAGGUANCCUUUUAGGAGCCA
rnacentral:rRNA from 1 species